GCUAAACGCUGGCGGCGUGUCUUAGCCAUGCAAGUCGAGCGGACUUAUGGGGUAACUUAUAAGUCAGCGGCGGACGGCGGAGUAACACGUAGCUAACCUACCCUCUGGACGGGGAUAACCUACCGAAAGGUGGGCUAAUACCCGAUGUAGUCAUCCUGUAUAGGGGUGAUGAAAGGUGGGCUUCUGUUUACAAGCUCAUGCUGGAGGAGGGGGCUGCGGCCUAUCAGGUAGUUGGUAGGGUAAUAGCCUACCAAGCCGAUGACGGGUAGCCGGCCUGAGAGGGUGACCGGCCCGAGGGGCACUGAGAUACGGGUCCCACUCCUACGGGAGGCAGCAGGCUAGAAAUUUGGGCAAUGGGGGAAACCCUGACCCAGUGACGCCGCGUGCAGGAAGGAGCCCUUCGGGGUGUAAACUGCUGUCGUGUAGGGAGAAGGGUACUAAGGUGAACAAUCUUAGUACUUUGACGGUACUACAGGAGGAAGCCCAGGCUAACCUCGUG
rnacentral:rRNA from 1 species